UACGUAGGUGGCGAGCGUUGUCCGGAUUUAUUGGGCGUAAAGCGCGCGCAGGUGGUGCGGUAAGUCCUGUGUGAAAUCUCCCGGCUCAACUGGGAGGGUGCGCAGGAGACUGCCGGACUGGAGGCACUCAGAGGCCGGUGGAAUUCCCGGUGUAGUGGUGAAAUGCGUAGAGAUCGGGAGGAACACCAGUGGCGAAGGCGGCCGGCUGGGGGUGACCUGACGCUGAGGCGCGGAAAGCGUGGGGAGCGAACCGGG
rnacentral:rRNA from 1 species